GGCUCUGUGGCGCAAUGGAUAGCGCGUUGGACUUCUAAUUCAAAGGUUGUGGGUUCAAAUCCCACCAGAGUCA
rnacentral:tRNA from 1 species